ACCUUUCUUUUGGCAUUACGCUGACAUUGCCAUACCCGUACGAAAAUUAACCAUGUUUUUGUGGUAAAAGUGUAGUAACUACGGUUUGUGUAUCGAUUAUUUGCAAAAUGGUUUUACUAAACCAAACAUGGUUUAACUUUUUUUUCAAAUUCAUGGUUCUUUCUUAACUGUAGUAAAACAAUGGUUAAUUUUUGCAAGGGAAGUCUAAUUAAAGUCCCAUUAAUAAGCUAACGUUAACCUAGUUUAAGUUAUCAACCUUUAGGGUAACUUAACGUGUUCAUUGUUUUAUUGUGUGAGCUUAAUAUAGUCUAAAGUUUUAAUAUUUGUCUUAUAAUAUUUGUAAGAAAAUAGGAAUCCCCACUAUUGGGAUACACUAUUUAAGCCUUAUAUUAGAGCUAAUUUACACUACAUAAGAAAAAUUUUCUGUUCUCCCUGCAGAUCCUGUCAUUCGAAUCACCUGUCACAACUUAGAUUUAACGUUGCUUAUUUUAUAAACCCAAAGGCACUUUUAAAAGCCAUCAUUUACUACACAAAGCCAUAGUUCACUGACAAGCUGGGCCAUAUCGCAGGCGAUAAUUAAUGCGAAAUUGCCCUGGUUGUCAGUGAACUAUGGCUUUGUGUAGUAAAUGCUGCUCCAUCUGAAAGUAGGUGAUGUUGGUGUACUACUAAUCAAAGAACCGGCUUUACUGACGAGAUGCGCAUGAAAAUCACAUGUGAUUUAUCGUGCAGCCGUACUUGAAAAACUCCAUGCUACUGGAUACAAGCCAGUUCUGCUUCGUGAAAAGGAGACCAAGAAGCAAAAUAUUAAGUGUGAGAGAUUAUCGCCUAUGCCCAGGACUACCUUCAGAAGAUCGGUUCCUUUUAUGAAUACCUUUGUGAAGGCUCGCAGCACUACCCUUGUAACGACUGAACAAUCAUCUGGGAUGUCCACAUAGAGAGAGAGAGGUUGGACCCAGGAUUCCAGUGGCAUUAUGAUCAGCUGGUUACACUGCACCUCACACCCUGUGACCCACUGGAGAAUGCAAACAACUGGAAGAGAUGACAAACAUGGUGGAGCAGGCGACCACUACAGAGGGACAGGUGGAGGCAGCGAACACUAUGGAAGGGCAGCUGGAGCAGGCGAGCACUACAAAGGGCCAAGGUGUCUACACAUGGUCAGCCACAGUCACAAAUCUUGCACUCUGUCGCAAAAAGAAAAAGCCAGGUGGACCAAAGCUUAUACCUGAUAAGAAAAAAGCUUAAAAGGAGUAAGUGUAUGUAAACAUUGAUGCUUUUAUCAGUGUGUUGACAUUGCUAUUUUUACCCCUGGUUAUUUGUUAUAGUUCUAUUGUUUAUUUCUCUAACUACUUACAACAGUCACAAAGGUUAGACAGUCAUAAAAUAAAUGCAUAGUAGACCAUAUGCAGAACCUAAUAUAGGAUUCAAAUACUUCCUUGUGGGUAAUAAAUAACAUUGAUAUCGUAAUUGUUAGGUAGAUACUUUCUGUGUUUAGUCUUUUUGAAUUACAGGCUAAGAAGGAACAGAAAAAUCCAUGAUCAGAUGCUGUAAAUAUCAACAUUGACCCACUGUGUUACUUAAACUUAAUGCCUAUAGCCAAACAUAAUCUAAACAUCAUGCUAAAAAUGAAAUUCAUCUGUUUGCUUUUUUGUUUUGUUGUUUCCUUAAUAGGGCAAAGCAGACAUUUUGGUGGACUGGGAGCCCUGUCCAGUAUGUGAUGAGAUUUGGACCCAUCCCUGGCAGCCAAAGGAUUCUCUCCAAAUUAAUUAAAAUAAUUAAAUAAAAAUU